AGGCAGCAGUAGGGAAUCUUCCACAAUGGACGAAAGUCUGAUGGAGCAACGCCGCGUGAGUGAAGAAGGGUUUCCCUCCUAAAGCUCUGUUGGUAGUGAAGAAAGAUAGAGGUAGUAACUGGCCUUUAUUUGACGGUAAUUACUUAGAAAGUCACGGCUAACUACGUGCCAGCAGCCGCGGUAAUACGUAGGUSGCAAGCGUUGUCCGGAUUUAUUGGGCGUAAMGCGCGYGCAGGCGGUUCAAUAAGUCUGAUGUGAACCUUCGGCUCAACCGGAGAAUUGCAUCMSAAACUGUUGAACUUGAGUGCAGAAGAGGAGAGUGGAACUCCAUGUGUAGCGGUGGAAUGCGUAGAUAUAUGGAAGAACACCAGUGGCGAAGGCGGCUCUCUGGUCUGCMACUGACGCUGAGGCUCGAAAGCAUGGGUMGCGAACAGGAUUAGAUACCCUGGUAGUCCAUGCCGUAAACGAUGAGUGCUAAGUGUUGGGAGGUUUCCGCCUCUCAGUGCUGC
rnacentral:rRNA from 1 species